UCCCCCUGAGUGGGGGGGUGGUGAGGGGGAGCCCCUCUUGGCCUCCCUUAAGGGGGGGAAUGGGGGGAGCCCCUCUUGGCCUGGGGCUCCCCCUGAGUGGUGAUGGCUCCUUGGUGGCUGUGUUCUUGGUCCUGGCCUGGAAGGGAGAAGCUGAGUUCUGUGUUCUGCUGGAAGAAAAAGUACAGCUUACUUCAAAGUGAGGUCAUCUACUUCAAUAGCACAGCGUGUCAGCCUCGUUUGACUCACCGAAUGAAACCGCGGUACUUUCCCAGUGCUCGUGUUGUUGCAGCUGAGGUUCUGGAGAGCAGCCUUACUUGAAUUUGGUGGAGCUUCAAGCAUGAAGGCAGCUCAAACUAGUGCAUCUCAGUGAUGCCCUUCAUCAAGUCAUGAAAGAAAUGCAACUGACUCUGCAUUCUGCCUUUGCGUUAUAUGCUUGCAUAUAAUAUUCUGUUUUUAUAUAUUCAACAAUCUGCGGUUAUAAAUCACCUCUGCUUUUAAUUAAUGACCCAGUUCUGCUGUGCUUCCAGUGUGGUAUCUGGGUAACUCAGGAUAGAAAAAAGUUAAUUGACUUA